GCUGCACAUAUGUUAUCUCACUACAAUAAUGAGACGGACAAAGAAAGAGACCAAAGAUUUCGUGCAA
rnacentral:sRNA from 1 species